rnacentral:lncRNA from 1 species
AGUCGGCGCAGGGCGCCCGUCGGAGUGUGAGGGGUCAGGCGCCACCCGGCCUGUCGCCGGAUCCGGUUACUCCGCGGGGAGUGCGUGUCCACUCGUACUUGCCCUCCCCAGCCCGGCCGGAGACGACAACCAGCGCGCGUGGGGCUUAAGGGCCAGGCCGCCAUGGACCGGGUCCGGGCCCGGGUUACGAGAGUCGCCAUGCGACCAGGCAGCUUCCUGCGUCAGGUCAACGGAUGCUCCCUCGUGGCGUCUGAGACCCUCGCCCCCAAAAGUUUAUUAAACAAACAGUGGAGGGACCUCGAGAAUCCUUAAAUCCAAGCUAGCGCUCCUCCGAGUGAGGCGAAGCGAGGCCGGGACACAAGCCAUGGAGGGGCCGCACCUGGUCCCUCCGGCACCUGCGCCGGGGUGAUGUGAGCCCCAGCACCGGGCUCUGCCAGGAUCCUGGCCGCCCCGGGCGGUCCGUCUAAAGCACCCGUCACGGUUCGCAUUUGCACAUUUAUUAUUGUGAGAGCGCUGGCUAAUGCUCGCCUCGCCCCCCAGACUCCAUGAGCACAGGGGCUGUAGCAACCUUGUGUAGGGAGCAUGUGGCAGCUGUGGAACGACUGAAUAAUUGAAUACAUCUCCGUUGCACAAAAGAGGAAGCAGAUUCAGAAGGGAGGUGACUGGGACACCAUCGCAGCAGCAGCUUCCGGGAAAACAGGGAUGGAUCCUAAGACCCUGACCCCACAGGGCUCAGCAAGUGGUGAUGCUGUGACGGGAGCCCAGCUUUGCUUGGAGACGGGCAAGCUGAACUGCUGGCCAAAUUCUGGAAAACAUUGUAGGUCUGUAAAAACUUCAGUUUCAAUCCACUGGGUAUAAACUCAAUGUCAGCCAAAGCCAGGCAGAUAUGGGAAGGGAGCCGGGAGUUCACGCUGGCCGAAUGGCGUGGCAGUUAGGCCUCGUGAUGGAAAACCCAGUUGGGGCUUAAAUCAAUGAAGGGUGCCUUGUCUCAAACAUGAAGACAGCCCAGAACUGGCACCGGCUCGGCCGUGCCUCCAGGGCCGGGCUUCCUUCCAUCUUCCCACCCCACCUCCUUAGCACAUGGCUUUUGUCCUAAAGACCGCUGAUGCGGCUCCAGGCACAGGCCCCCGUUCUGGGCUGGAAGGGGGAAGCCGAGCAUCCCCUGCAAGACCUCACGUGGGACAGCACAUCACACACAAGCCGCUGGUCGGCGGGGGGCUCCCCCACAACCCAUGAGCCAGGACGCAGUCUCGGGGCCACUUCCAGCAGCUGCAAGGGAGUCUGGGAACUUGAGCUCAGGGGGGCAAGGGGCAGAACGAGUGGGAGCGGCCAAUUCUCCAGGCCCACGAAGAACCAUGCUUGCCUCUGUUGAUCUGAGCAGGCACCCCUCCCGUCUAGCACUUGUGUCCCUCCCAUGUUGAAAGACACGGCUUCCGGAAACACAGCCACUCAGGCGUGCAAAGGGGUAACGAGGUGUGCUUCGUGCCAGGCAGCUGUUGAGGGUGGGUGGCACUUCAAAUCCUGAAGAGCUCACGUGGCAAGGCACCGGCCAGUCUGAUCAGAUGCCCAGCUGAUCAAAACAUACACCCAACAUACAUCCCCAAGGAUGCCUGCUGGCGGCCGGGAAGCCACAGCGGCAGACAGCAGCUGUGCCCGUAGGCGGCUGGGAAAUCUCUUACCUUCCCUUGAGGUCUAAUUUUGCCAUGGCGGGCGAAUUUUUAGAUGAUGCUGUGUAGGGCACAGAAAGCCCGUUUGUGGCGCUGGUGUAUCAUCCCUCAUCUUUGGGUCAAGCCGUGGCAGAUGUAGGACUCACUGGCUGGUGGGGGGCCGGGGGGCAGGGGGGGGCAGCAGUGCGUGCCGGCCGCUCUCCAUGGUCCUGGACAGAGGGAUCCUUCCUGGGUGCUCAGGAAUCUCAGCCCGGGAGAGAGACAGGGGUUUGAGGGAAGGAAAAAUAGGGACGGGGUGGAGGGAGGGGCUCCCUGGGGAGAGAGGCUGCUGAGAACGAAGUCGAUUUUAAAUGAAUCGAAGCCUGCCGGGUAUGAAAGGAGACUGAGGGCGAUUUUUUUUGGGCCCCGAGUUGAGACAAGGCCACGUAAGUGUCCCCACGUGGUCGGGAAGAAUCUGAGUGGCAUUUGCCUCAUUAAAGUCACUUUUCUCCAUUUCUUACUUGGUGAAAAAUGGGUGAUUUUUUAAAAACGCUGUUGCAGAAUGAGUUACGCAUGAGUUACGCUUCUUCGUCACACGGAGCUGGUAGUGAGUCCUUUUGUCCGUUCUGGGGUGUGUCUGACAGCUGCGGAUGUCCUUCUCCCAGUGGGGGCGGGUGGACGGUUCCCGGUUCCCGGAGAGCAGGCGCUGUCACUUGCAAAGCGCUUUCCCGCCGCCACACUCGGCCGCGUGGUCCCCACAAUAGUCAGGAGGCGAAGUUCACUGCCCCUCGCGGUGGGGGGGGGGCAAAACCCCGAGGCUCGGAGAUGGAGAGAGCCUCACCGUGGUUGCACAGCAGAGGGGGAGGAGAGCUGGGCUGGAAUCCCUCCCUGCCUGUGUCUGGCUGGUUCCUGGAGGGGGGCGGGGGAUGUCCCAGGAGGGGAGGGCGCAAGGGGAAGGGUCCCGUCGGAUGGGUUGCUCGUGGGCAUCUUGAAUUGCUCCAGCCAAGCAUACAAAAUGACCAUCAAGCUCAUGGGAGCCAAGCUCACUGAGUCGAGAUCACUUGCUCAGCAGGCACUAAGUGAGCACCUCCUGUGUGCCAGGCACUGGGCUCAGUGCCUGCAGUGAAGUGGGAAGUAAGACAGGCACAGCUUUUGCCCUCAUGGAGUUGACUUUCUGCCGGGGAGACAAACAGAUAAACGGUUCGUGAUAAUUUGGGAGGAAGUAAGUGCCGUAAAGAAAAAAGUAGGAGUUCCCGUCGUGGCGCAGUGGUUAACGAAUCUGACUAGGAACCAUGAGGUUGCGGGUUCGGUCCCUGCCCUUGCUCAGUGGGUUAACGAUCCGGCGUUGCCGUGAGCUGUGGUGUAGGUUGCAGACGCGGCUCGGAUCCCGCGUUGCUGUGGCUCUGGCGUAGGCCGGUGGCUACAGCUCCGAUUUGACCCCUAGCCUGGGAACCUCCAUAUGCCGCAGGAGUGGCCCUCGAAAAGGCAAAAAGACAAAAAAAAAAAA